rnacentral:rRNA from 1 species
UCGGGAAUGGAUUAGUGGCGAACGGGUGAGGAACACGUGAGAAACCUGCCUUUCAUUCUGGGAUAACACCGGGAAACCGGUGCUAAUACCGGAUACUCCAUCUUGGCGGCAUCGCCGAGCUGGGAAAAAAUUUUGAUGAAAGAUGGUCUCGCGGCCUAUCAGCUAGUUGGUGAGGUAAAGGCUCACCAAGGCGACGACGGGUAGCCGGCCUGAGAGGGCGACCGGCCACACUGGGACUGAGACACGGCCCAGACUCCUACGGGAGGCAGCAGUAGGGAAUAUUGGGCAAUGGGCGAAAGCCUGACCCAGCGACGCCGCGUGAGGGAUGAAGGUCUUCGGAUUGUAAACCUCUUUCAGUAGGGAAGAAGCGAAAGUGACGGUACCUAAAGAAGAAGCACCGGCUAACUAUGUGCCAGCAGCCGCGGUAAUACAUAGGGUGCAAGCGUUGUCCGGAAUUAUUGGGCGUAAAGAGCUCGUAGGUCGUUUGUCGCGUCGAUUGUGAAAAUCUGAGGCUCAACCUCAGACCUGCAGUCGAUACGGGCAAACUAGAGUGUGGUAGGGGAGACUGGAAUUCCUGGUGUAGCGGUGGAAUGCGCAGAUAUCAGGAGGAACACCAAUGGCGAAGGCAGGUCUCUGGGCCAUAACUGACACUGAGGAGCGAAAGUGCGGGGAGCGAACAGGAUUAGAUACCCUGGUAGUCCGCACCGUAAACGGUGGGCACUAGUUGUGGGAACCUUCCACGGUUUCCGCG